AGCAGGCGCGCAAAUUACCCAAUCCCGACANGGGGAGGUAGUGACAAUAAAUAACAACACAGGGCUCUUUUGGGUCUUGUUAUUGGAAUGAGUACGAUUUAAAUCUCCUAACGAGGAACAAUUGGAGGGCAAGUCUGGUGCCAGCAGCCGCGGUAAUUCCAGCUCCAAUAGCGUAUAUUAAAGUUGUUGCAGUUAAAAAGCUCGUAGUUGAAUUUCGGGCNNNNNNNNNNGGUCCGCCCUUCGGGUGAGUACUGUCUGUGGUCGGGUCCUACCUUCUGGCGAAGCGUCAUGGCCUUAACCGGCCGUGGCGGGGAACCAGGACUUUUACUGUGAAAAAAUUAGAGUGUUCAAAGCAGGCAAUCGCUUGGAUACAUUAGCAUGGAAUAAUGGAAUAGGACAAUGGUUCUAUUUGUUGGUUUCUAGGACCGUUGUAAUGAUUAAUAGGGAUAGUUGGGGGCAUUAGUAUUCAAUUGUCAGAGGUGAAAUUCUUGGAUUUAUUGAAGACUAACUACUGCGAAAGCAUUUGCCAAGGAUGUUUUCAUUAAUCAAGAACGAAAGUUANGGNNUCGAAGACGAUCAGAUACCGUCGUAGUCUUAACCAUAAACUAUGCCGACUAGGAAUCGGGCGAUGUUGAAAAAAUGACGCGCUCGGCACCUCAUGGGAAACCAAAGUGUUUGGGUUCA
rnacentral:rRNA from 1 species